UGUCUGGUCUUCUGCGGCGGAGGCGUCGGACACCGCGCAGUUGAGGCGCGCCCGGGGCCGCUUUAGAGGCGCUGACAUCCGAGGAGACUUCUCCUGG
rfam:Oryctolagus cuniculus cont2.35945, whole genome shotgun sequence.